AUGCUUCAGUCCAUCUCUGGCCAUGCCAUGGGCCCCGGACCACUGUGGUUGGUGGCUGUUUGUGUCCUGGGAGCAGGCCCCAUGGACGCCGGAGUCACCCAGACUCCCAGAUACCAGCUGAUCCAGACUGAGGAGAAGGUGACUCUGAGCUGUGAACAGAAUAUGGACCAUGAAUGGAUGUACUGGUACCGAAAGGACCCAGGGCUGGGACUGCGGCUGAUCCUUUACUCUCUUGAUGUGAACUCCACUGAGCAAGGAGACAUUCCGCAGGGGUAUUCAGUCUCUCGGGAGAAGAAGGCGCUCUUCCCCCUGACCCUGGGUUCUGCGGACAUGAGCCAAUCGUCGCUGUAUUUCUGCGCGAGCAGAGAAACCACAGCGCUGCAGCGGCCCCUCCGCCCCAUGCAUGAACCUCCCCCAUCAGGGCAGGAAGCCCAUGGAAGGAGAGAUGCCCCUCCUCCAAUGGCCCCUGGAGAUGGGAAAAGCAGGGGAAGGGGAGGAGCAGGAGAGGAAGUUCUGCUCCUUCGAUCUUCUGCUGGUGUCGAUCCUGUCUAUGCUCAAUGUCUGGGGCUCUUUAAGUCUUACAUUGACAGUAUGUGGGAAAUAAACUUCCACACAGGGUCAUGUUGUGUUAAACCUUAA